rnacentral:rRNA from 1 species
AUUGAACGCUGGCGGAAUGCUUUACACAUGCAAGUCGAACGGCAGCACGGGGGCAGCCCUGGUGGCGAGUGGCGAACGGGUGAGUAAUACAUCGGAACGUGCCCGGUCGUGGGGGAUAACGUAGCGAAAGUUACGCUAAUACCGCAUACGAUCUGAGGAUGAAAGCGGGGGACCUUCGGGCCUCGCGCGAUCGGAGCGGCCGAUGUCAGAUUAGGUAGUUGGUGGGGUAAAGGCCUACCAAGCCGACGAUCUGUAGCUGGUCUGAGAGGAAGACCAGCCAACCUGGGACUGAGACACGGCCCAGACUCCUACGGGAGGCAGCAGUGGGGAAUUUUGGACAAUGGGCGCAAGCCUGAUCCAGCCAUUCCGCGUGCAGGACGAAGGCCUUCGGGUUGUAAACUGCUUUUGUACGGAACGAAAAGGCUCUGGCUAAUACCUGGGGCUCAUGACGGUACCGUAAGAAUAAGCACCGGCUAACUACGUG